AUAUAGCUUUGUAAGCAUUUUGGUUCACCGGAUAAACUCAGCCCUUGUUGCUAGUUGUCUGUUGCGUAGUCAAUGAAAUUGAAGUAAAACUAAACCAUGCCUAGAUUGCUCUACUCGACCACACUGUCAUGAUCUGAUACCAUUCCCUAUCAAUUUGAACCUGAAUCCGAUCUUUAAUUAUCAUGUAUGCAUCAAAUUUGAACUCAUGGAUACCCUAAAAUACUUGGAUUUUCUUAUUCAUUUUGAUCACUCUUGUUAAUCCAAGUAGCUGACUCUCCUUAUAAGAGCAGUUAACCCAAACCCAAACCUAGACUUUCUAUCAAGCCCUAUAUCACUUGUGAGUGUUUGUGAGGUCUUAUUCCGAUUAAGCUUGGUAGAAAGUGUUAGGUUCGUAACGAAAGAGAUAGUGUCUCAUGUAGUUCUACUUCGCAUUUUUUAGACUAGAUAGGACUAGGUUGGCGCUUAUACUUUGGGUUGGGAUGUGUUUUAAAAAAA
rnacentral:sRNA from 1 species